UGGGUACGUUAAAACAUACAUUAUGCACUUUACAAAUUUUGUUUCCUAAAGGUUUAUGCUUUUGUUUUGCAGAUGUAUGAGACGAGACUUCUACCUCAUGAAAGUGAUCAAAUUGUAGUUUCCAUCGUACUGAAAAAUCAGAGUUCUUCUGUUAUUAAGGAGCUGGUUUUCAGCAUGUGUGAUACUCCAGCUGUGAGACUGCUUAGAGCUAACAGAGAUGAUCAGUUUGGAAUUAAGAUGCACUUCCAGCUCCCAGCAAGGUGUAAUAGUGAAGCUCA